AUGGCGGCGGAGGCAGGCGCUCCUGGUUAUAAGUUAAGGAAGAGGAAAGCAACAGCACACGAGGUGCCCGGAUCGGAUGCAGAGGGAGGAGGCGCCGGCGUCGAUCGCAUCAGCGACCUCCCCGACGAGGUCCUCGGGGACAUCGUCUCGCUCCUCCCCACCAAGGAAGGCGGCCGCACCCAGGUCCUCGCCUCCCGGUGGCGCCGCCUCUGGCGCACCGCCCCGCUCAACCUCGAUCACCGUUCCUUCUUACGCGACGAGGAGGGCCUCGAUGUCAUCAUAUCGCGCGUCCUCGCCGCCCAUCAGGGCCCCGGCCGCCGCUUCUCCGCCCCGGUCUACCACCUCGCCGGCGACCGAGCGGAUGCCUGGCUCCAGUCCCCCGCCCUCGACAACCUCCAGGAGCUCGAGCUGUGCAGCUUCAGUCACAAGUUACCGCGUCCACCCUCAACGGUGCAGAUGCCGCCCUCGGCCGCCUUCCGCUUCUCCGACACGCUCUUUGUUGCCAUCAUCGGAGAUUGCCACCUUACCGACGACAUCAUUCAAUCGCUUCACUUCCCUAAGCUUCAGAAGCUCGCGCUUCAGAGGGUCAGCAUAUCCGAAUCCUCGCUGCACGCCAUGAUUGCCGCUUGCCCUGCUCUGGAGUGCUUGCUUAUUCAGAACAGUGGGGGCUUCAGUUGUGUCAGAAUCAACUCCAUUAGCCUUAGAAGCAUUGGUGUGAGCGGUCAUAGCAAUCGGACAGAGACCAAAUUUAAGGAACUCAUCAUCGAGAAUGCCCCUUGUCUUGAAAGCUUGCUCACACUUGGUUCAUGCGAGUGCCGUCUUAUAUCGGUGAUCUCCGCGCCUAAACUGGAGGCCUUAGGCUAUCUUUCUUCUCAUUAUGGUACCAGAAUCUCGUUUGACUCGACAGUUAUUGAGCGAAUGCGUGUUGAUCGCCUGACGACAGCGGUGCGCACUGUCAAGAUUUUAGCUAUUCUUAUGCAUGCUCUUAGUCUGGAUACUGUUCUUGACUUGAUGAGAUGCUUUCCGUGCUUGGAAAAGUUGUACAUUGAGUCAAGUGGACCAGGUAUUAGCAACUUAUGGCGUCGUAAACACCGGACUCUUAUAAGAUCACUUGACAUCCCUCUGAAGACUAUCGUAUGGAAUUAUUAUCGGGGAAUUAAGUCACAUGUUGACUUGGCCACAUUUUUUGUACUAAACGCUCGCGUGCUAGAAUUAAUGACUUUUGAGGUUAAUGUUGAAGAUUUCAACGAGGAGUUUUUUGCACAACAUCAUAAGAAGCUUCAGGUGGAUAGUAGGGCCUCAAGAGGUGCUCGGAUUCGUUUUACUACCGAUUGGUGCUAUAAUUACCAUAUGAAGCUUAGUGUCCAUGAUUUGGGUCGAGCUGACCCCUUUGAAAGGACACACCCUUUGCAAGGAGAU
rnacentral:rRNA from 1 species